UACGAAGGGGGCUAGCGUUGCUCGGAAUCACUGGGCAUAAAGGGCGCGUAGGCGGCUCCAAAAGUCAGGGUGAAAUCCGGCAGCUUAACUGUCGCAGUGCCUUUGAUACUGUGGAGCUAGAGGGAGGUAGGGGUCUGUGGAACUUCCGGUGGAGCGGUGAAAUGCGUUGAUAUCGGAAGGAACGCCGGUGGCGAAAGCGACGGACUGGAUCUCUUCUGACGCUGAGGCGCGAAAGCCAGG
rnacentral:rRNA from 1 species